AGAGAUGCAUUGGGUUUAAAGGGUGCGCAGGCGGUUUUGUAAGACAGAGGUGAAAUCCCCGGGCUCAACCUGGGAACUGCCUUUGUGAUUGCAAGGCUGGAGUGCGGCAGAGGGGGAUGGAAUUCCGCGUGUAGCAGUGAAAUGCGUAGAUAUGCGGAGGAACACCGAUGGCGAAGGCAACCCCCUGGGCCUGCACUGACGCUCAUGCACGAAAGCGUGGGGAGCAAACA
rnacentral:rRNA from 1 species